rnacentral:rRNA from 1 species
GACGUACGGUGCGAGCGUUGUUCGGAAUCACUGGGCGUAAAGGGCGCGUAGGCGGGCCAUAAAGUCAGGGGUGAAAUCCUCCAGCUUAACUGGGGAACUGCCUUUGAUACUGAUGGUCUCGAGUAAGGUAGGGGCAUGCGGAACUGAUGGUGGAGCGGUGAAAUGUGUUGAUAUCAUCAGGAACUCCGGUGGCGAAGGCGGCAUGCUGGGCCUUCACUGACGCUGAGGCGCGAAAGCUAGGGGAGCGAACGGG